rnacentral:rRNA from 1 species
AGUGAACGCUGGCGGUAGGCCUAACACAUGCAAGUCGAACGGCAGCACAGUAAGAGCUUGCUCUUACGGGUGGCGAGUGGCGGACGGGUGAGGAAUACAUCGGAAUCUACUUUUUCGUGGGGGAUAACUAAGGGAAACUUACGCUAAUACCGCUUACGACCUACGGGUGAAAGAAGGGGAUCUUCGGACCUUGCCCGAUUGAAUGAGCCGAUGUCGGAUUAGCUAGUUGGCGGGGUAAAGGCCCACCAAGGCGACGAUCCGUAGCUGGUCUGAGAGGAUGAUCAGCCACACUGGAACUGAGACACGGUCCAGACUCCUACGGGAGGCAGCAGUGGGGAAUAUUGGACAAUGGGCGCAAGCCUGAUCCAGCCAUACCGCGUGGGUGAAGAAGGCCUUCGGGUUGUAAAGCCCUUUUGUUGGGAAAGAAAAGCAGCAGGUUAAUACCCCGCUGUUCUGACGGUACCCAAAGAAUAAGCACCGGCUAACUUCGUG